rnacentral:rRNA from 1 species
GGCUCCAAUAGCGUAUAUUAAAGUUGCUGCAGUUAAAAAGCUCGUAGUUGCAUUUCCGAGGCAAGGGAUUAGUCCGACCUUUGGUGGGUAUUUAAUCCUCUUGCCUCGUCCUUGAGUGGUGCUUCUUGGUAUUAAGUUAUCGAGGAGAUAGCCGCUCAUCGUUUACUGUGAGAAAAUUAGAGUGUUCAAAGCAGGCUUAUGUCGUUGAAUAUAUUAGCAUGGAAUAAUAAGAUAGGACCUCGGUACUAUUUUGUUGGUUUGAGAACCAAGGUAAUGAUGAAUAGGGACAGUUGGGGGUAUUCGUAUUCAGUUGUCAGAGGUGAAAUUCUUAGAUUUACGGAAGACGAACUACUGCGAAAGCAUUUACCAAGGAUGUUUUCA